UACGUAGGUGGCAAGCGUUAUCCGGAUUUACUGGGUGUAAAGGGCGUGUAGGCGGGAUUGCAAGUCAGAUGUGAAAUUCCAGGGCUCAACCCUGGAACUGCAUUUGAAACUGUAGUUCUUGAGUGAGCGAGAAGUAUGCGGAAUGCGUGGUGUAGCGGUGAAAUGCAUAGAUAUCACGCAGAACUCCGAUUGCGAAGGCAGCAUACCGGUGCACAACUGACGCUCAGGCACGAAAGCGUGGGUAUCGAACAGG
rnacentral:rRNA from 1 species